UUAGAGAAAAUUGCAACUUUGGGCCCAAAGGUUUGAAUAAUUAAAUUCAAACCUAUAGUUUUUUUUAAUAUAAUUUUGGGACUCACAAUCUCAUUUUUAUAUUAUUUUUCUCUCUUCCUCUCACGGUGCUCGGCGUUUUCUCGCAAGGGGGGAUUAUUUUCUUUUUUCUUCAGAUUAUAUUGACAAAGAUAGUGGUGAAAAAGGAGUUGUGAAGGGGAACUUGUUAUUCAAGACACAAGGAGCGAAUCCGGCCGAGAAAGCACCAGAGGUGUAAUUAUGGUGUAUGAGACACCAUCUUUUACGUUGCCUCUUAUUUUGGAUUAUACAAUGUAUCUUGUGCCAACUUAG